GUACAAAACAAAAAGACUAAUCACUGAGUUUUGAGAUAUAGCAAUUGUGUUGAAGAUGAACAAAAUAUCGACCAUUGUGUUCUCUUAUAUUUGUGUGUUUAUUUUUCUAGGUUCACCUUCACGUAUGGUGUUGGGACAAGGCGAUUUGAAGUGUCAAAGUGUAAAAGAUUGUUCUAUCUUAUUUUGCAAACCUGAACAUCUAGUUUGUUUAGAAGGAAAUUGUAUAUGCAACGAGUCACCAAAAUACAAAGCAAGUGAUGCUUCAUGCAAGCGUGAUGAUGAUUGUAAAUGUGGUCCUAAAUGUACAGCAAAUUGUCUUUCUGGAGUUUGCUUUUGUACUGGCCCUCCUGGAUGUAUUUAAGAACAAAAAUUAAGAUAUGGUAGAAGGUGUGUAAGAGAAGAUUUUAUCUUAUUGUUUGUGUCAAUGAGAUAAUAAGAAAUACUAGUAUUAAUUAUCA